CCAAUCCAAACCAUAAGGGUUGGGUUGAGUUAGAGAAUUGAAAAAUGCCACAUUUUUUGCACUCAACCCAUUUUUGCAAUCCGUUCACAAGUUCGCAGAUCUCACUCUGUUCCCUUCAAUCUGUCUCUCAGGUUCAAUAACAUACUGCCUGAAUAUUUAGGUUUCUUUAAAACUUAUCACGACAGACACGUUGUUUGGUACAACACAAUCACCAUUAUCUAAGUUUAUGUGCCUUCUAAAUCUGCAUUUAGCAUAUGAGAGAAUUCUUGAUUCCUUCCGUAGUUCUUUCACUCCUAAAACAAUCAAGACCUUCAUAUGUACGCAAAAUUGGAUUCAAGGCAGCUUGGUGUUAUUAGAUCUUCAUCCACAACUUGAAAAGUUAGACACUUAUGAGAAUA